GGGAGCGUUACUGGCAUCUUGACGAGCGCGUAGAUGGAGUAGAUUUUUUUGCACUUUGCGAUUAUUGGGACACGGCCGAAAUUCAGGAUCAAGCUGAAACAGCAAGGAGGAACCGCAAUGCGCCCCGCAGUUACGAGCAUCACGGGGGCUCCAGGUCCUUCAGCCAGCAUUAUCAUCAAUUGGCGCUUGAGGGAAGGGGAGAACUCGGGCAUUUUGCUGAUCGUAUUCUGACUGGUUGGAAUCCAAAUUACGC